GGGUUGUGAGGUUAAGCGACUAAGCGUACACGGUGGAUGCCCUGGCAGUCAGAGGCGAUGAAGGACGUGCUAAUCUGCGAAAAGCGUCGGUAAGGUGAUAUGAACCGUUACAGCCGGCGAUGUCCGAAUGGGGAAACCCAGUGCAAUUCGUUGCACUAUCGUUUGAUGAAUACAUAGUCAAACGAGGCGAACCGGGGGAACUGAAACAUCUAAGUACCCCGAGGAAAAGAAAUCAACCGAGAUUCCCCCAGUAGCGGCGAGCGAACGGGGAGCAGCCCGGAGUCUGAAUCAGCUUGUGUGUUAGUGGAAGCGUCUGGAAAGUCGCAGGGUACAGGGUGAUACUCCCGUACACUAAAACACACAGGUUGUGAACUCGAAGAGUAGGGCGGGACACGUGGUAUCCUGUCUGAAUAUGGGGGGACCAUCCUCCAAGGCUAAAUACUCCUGACUGACCGAUAGUG
rnacentral:rRNA from 1 species